AUGUCGCCUUGGGCCUUGCUCUUUCUGCUGGCCGCCCACCUUGCGGCCGGCGAGCCCGCCUCCAUCACGACGCUCACCGCCACUCCGGCGAAGCUGACAAAACCAGACCACGCAGUCACCCUCCAAUGGUCCAACCUCCCCGACCCGAGCCCGCUCGACUACGUGGCCGUCUACUCCCCGCCGUCCUCCGGCGACCUCGACUACCUCGGCUUCCUCCUCCUCAACUCCUCCGCCUCCUGGGCCACGGGCGCCGGCAGCCUCACGCUCCCGCGCCUGCCCGACCUGCGCGCCCCCUACCAGUUCCGCCUCUUCCGGGGCCAGAACCCGCGCGUUGACCAGGAUGCCGACCCGCUCCCCGACGCCAGCCGCCGCGCCGCCGUCUCGGGCAACGUGGCCUACGAGGGAUCCGGCGCCCGGCCCGCCCAGCUGCACCUGGCGUUCACCGACGAAGUGGACGAGAUGCGGGUGCUGUUCGUGUGCGGCGACGGCGGGGAGAGGUCGGUGAGGUACGGGCCCGCCGGCCGGCGCGAGGAGGAGUGGGAGGAGGUGCCGGCGGAGGCGAGCACGUACGAGCGGCGCCACAUGUGCGGCUACCCGGCGAACCAUAGCGUCGGGUGGCGCCACCCCGGGUUCGUCUUCGACGGCGUCAUGAAGGGGCUGCAGCCUGGGUCAAGGUACUUCUACAAGGUUGGCAAUGAUCUAGGAGGUUGGAGUGAGACAUACAGCUUCAUCUCACGCGACACCGAGGCCAACGAGACCAUCGCAUUCCUCUUUGGUGAUAUGGGCACUUACGUUCCUUACAACACCUACUUUCGAACACCUCAAGAAAGUGUGUCCACUGUGAAAUGGAUUCUCCGUGAUCUCCAGGCCCUUAACGACAAACCUGCAGUCAUUUCACAUAUCGGUGACAUCAGCUACCCUAAGGGCUAUGCGUGGUUAUGGGAUCAUUUCUUCGAACAGAUUGAGCCUAUUGCUGCCAAUACACCAUACCAUGUCUGCAUUGGGAAUCAUGAGUACGACUGGCCUUCCCAACCUUGGAAACCCUCCUGGGCUGCAAACAUAUAUGGUGGGAAUGAUGCUGGUGGCGCGGCAAAUGCGGAGUACCAUACAGCAUCAAGUUCAAAAUGCCUGGAAAUUCUUCUCUCCCUACCAGCACCAUUGCUCCUGACACCCGGAAUCUCUACUACUCCUUUGACGCAGGUGUUGUUCAUUUUGUUUACAUGUCUACUGAGACUGACUUCACUCAUGGCAGUGAUCAAUACAACUUUAUAA
rnacentral:rRNA from 1 species